CUUACUGAAGCAGAGCCCUCAAUUUCAAAUAUUGAAAUUGACACGGUGCCAUCACCUGCCCUAUACGUUGAAUGUGGUGCGAGCAGCGGGGCAAGCCCACAAAAGACCACGCCCGUAUGUUCGCGUGUUCGCGAUCGCAUAUCGAAUAUCAGACGACCUCUACAUGAUGGUGAAAUAAGUGCUUUAUUUAAUUAUGGUAGCGAGGAGGAGUCCGGCAAAGAGAAAGAAGAGAUUACCCAGUGGGUAUUGCUGCCCCGGGUGGCAAGGAUGUUUAUGGACGUAGAGAAUGAGGAAGUUGAAGAAGGUUCUCGCCUCGCCCAUCCGCUUGUGACCCAACACCCGUUUCGCUGUCUCCUGCCUCGCUGACGCGGAUGUCUGAUUUGUGAAUUCCUAUGGAGCCGAAUGACAAAUUUAAAUUUGAA